rnacentral:rRNA from 1 species
AACGCUGGCGGCGUGGAUAAGACAUGCAAGUCGAGCGGGAUUUUCUUUGGUAGCAAUACCGAGGAAAAUUCAGCGGCGAACGGGUGCGUAACACGUGGGCAAUUUGCCUUAAAGUGUGGGAUAGCUCGGCGAAAGCCGGAUUAAUACCGCAUGUGGCUACUGGAGACAUCUUCGGGACGCUAAAGGUGGCGCAAGCUACCGCUUUUUGAGAAGCCCGCGGCCUAUCAGCUUGUUGGUGAGGUAACGGCUCACCAAGGCUAUGACGGGUAGCUGGUCUGAGAGGACGACCAGCCACACUGGGACUGAGACACGGCCCAGACACCUACGGGUGGCAGCAGUCGAGAAUUUUUGACAAUGGGGGAAACCCUAAUCGAGCGACGCCGCGUGGAGGAUGAAGGUCUUCGGGUUGUAAACUCCUGUCAUUUGAGAACAAGGCGUAUUUAUUAACUGUAAGUACGUUGAUAGUAUCAGAAGAGGAAGAGACGGCUAACUCUGUGCCAGCAGCCGCGGUAAUACAGAGGUCUCAAGCGUUGUUCGGAUUCAUUGGGCGUAAAGGGUGUGUAGGUGGCGCGCUAAGUCGGGUGUGAAAUUUCGGAGCUUAACUCCGAAACUGCAUUCGAUACUGGCGUGCUUGA